AACUUACCUAUACGUUGCUUCGGCGGGAAUAGACGGCCCCGUAAAACGGGCCGCCCCCGCCAGAGGACCCUUAACUCUGUUUCUUUUAGUGUAUCUUCUGAGUAAAACAAGCAAAUAAAUUAAAACUUUCAACAACGGAUCUCUUGGCUCUGGCAUCGAUGAAGAACGCAGCGAAAUGCGAUAAGUAAUGUGAAUUGCAGAAUUCAGUGAAUCAUCGAAUCUUUGAACGCACAUUGCGCCCGCCAGUAUUCUGGCGGGCAUGCCUGUUCGAGCGUCAUUACAACCCUCAGGCCCCCGGGCCUGGCGUUGGGGAUCGGCGGAGCCCCCCGUGGGCACACGCCGUCCCCCAAAUACAGUGGCGGUCCCGCCGCAGCUUCCAUCGCGUAGUAGCUAACACCUCGCGACUGGAGAGCGGCGCGGCCACGCCGUAAAACACCCAACUCUUCUGAA
rnacentral:misc_RNA from 1 species